rnacentral:misc_RNA from 13 species
ACCCUAUUUGAUGUAUAUACGUAGGCUACGCUGCCUUUAUCACUGUGCUUCAAUAUCUGGCCACAAGUCAUUCGGUUUGGAUUUGUUUGAAACUUAAUUUCGGCUUAGUUUAAAAUGAAAAGAAAACGUAAAAGCAAAUCAGUCAGUACCCGUGCACAAAUAGAGCUCCCCAACCACAUGAACCACACUAUGAACGCGAUGAACAUGCAGAUGCGCUCGAUGAAUCGCCUGAUGAACAGCUUCAUGCCCGAUCCCUUCAUGCAGGUCUCGCCCUUUGACCAGGGAUUCCAGCAGAACGCUCUCAUGGAGCGUCCGCAGAUGCCGGCCAUGCCAGCCAUGGGACUUUUUGGUAUGCCCAUGAUGCCAAACUUUAAUCGCCUGUUGAACGCUGAUAUUGGUGCCAAUUCAGGCGCAUCCUUCUGCCAGAGCACCGUGAUGACCAUGUCAUCGGGUCCCGAUGGGCGUCCUCAGAUUUACCAGGCCAGCACUAGUACCAAGACGGGACCGGGAGGCGUUCGUGAGACCCGCAAGACGGUGCAGGACUCGCGCACUGGAGUGAAGAAGAUGGCCAUUGGUCACCACAUUGGCGAGCGGGCACACAUUAUUGAGAAAGAGCAGGACAUGCGCUCAGGACAACUGGAGGAGCGCCAGGAGUUCAUUAAUCUGGAGGAGGAAGAAGCCGAGCAGUUUGACAGGGAGUUUACAUCGCGCGCUUCUCGCGGAGCUGUGCAGUCAAGACAUCAUGGUAGUGGCAUGCAGGCCAUCAUGCCCGCCCGUCCAGCGGCACAAACCUCGACGUUGACCAUUGAGCCGGUGGAUGACGACGACGAUGAUGAUGACUGUGUAAUCCAGGAGCAGCAACCGGUUCGCUCCUCCGCGGGCCGCCAUUAUUCCACUGCGCCAACCGCACCGCAGAACAGAUAUAAUUACUAAAUCUAAAGUCAAUACAGUAUAUUUUACUAACUAUCCGAUAAAACAGAAACAGAAUUGCAUACUAUAAAUUUCUGCUAAUUACAUUCCCAACUGCGUUCAAACGAAACGAAUAUCGAAUCGAAAUCAUAAAAUGCACAGAGCAGCAUACAUCCACAUCCCUAUGCCGCCAAUCCGAGGCGCCAACAACGUGCCGUAAAACAUAAUCACACGGAGGACGAAGCGGCCAGCUCCUACAAGGCGGGCAAGCGCGGCAAGAAGAAGUAGUAGAAGCGUGAUCAUCUGUAUGCCAACAUCUUCCGCAUCGCACACUCAAAAACACUAGGAAGCAAGCGUUUGGCUCUGUUCCAUAGCAGAAAAACCAAUUCAAAUAUUUUUAACACACUUCUUUACCAGUUCUGUCUUAUCCUGCGUGAGUCGACCACAACGCCACACUAAAAAAUGUACAACUUCAAGAUGCUAUUGAUGUGCACGCAGGAUACAGAACAAUUUGCUUAAACUUACUUAAAAAAUGUGACUAUUCAACGCCGGAAUCAUUACAACACACUCUCUCACACCUAAUCGAAAAAUUCAAUGAAAGUAAUGGAAUUAUAUAUGAAAUCGUAAUCAUAAGUUUGAAUUAUUUGAUUAAUUCUCAAGUUUUUAGAUUUUGUUAGCCACUAAGCUUUAAAUUAUGGAUGCCAGUUAGCGUGCAAAUGAACACAAUUGAUUUGAAGGCUCCGAACGAUAGAAAACAACAAUUACCAAUUCCCCAAAUACAUGUAAUUCGUAAGGCCUAAGUAAAUGUUAACGUGAAUUUAAUUAAAUGGUAAUUACAUUAUAAUAGUAAA